rnacentral:lncRNA from 1 species
GCAUGCCACAGUCGCACUCUUCCAGAUGCCCCAGCGGAGGAAAACGCAACACCUCGCGCCGCACCCCCGGAAACCCGCCAACUCGAGCCCUCAGGAGGACCCCUUGGUCAGCUGCCUGGACGCCGAUGCCACCUACAUCUGCACCGCGUACAACUCCCGCUGCUACAUCAUCCAAAAGAUCUCAGCUGUGGUGGAAAGCGGAGGCUUGAAUCCCGAUGCCGAUGAAUUUCAAUACAAGGGUAUCAAAGAUUUCAGCGAAUCGGACCAGGCUGAAUUUUACGAACCUGAUGUCGACUUCGAAGAAGAAUCACAAAUGGGUGUUCUGGAGGAUGGUAAGUAGAUUUUUCAUCAAUAUUAUCAUUCAAUUGCGAAGGGAAAAUAUAUUUAUGG